rnacentral:rRNA from 1 species
UACGUAGGGUCCGAGCGUUGUCCGGAAUUACUGGGCGUAAAGAGCUCGUAGGUGGUUUGUCGCGUUGUUCGUGAAAACUCACAGCUUAACUGUGGGCGUGCGGGCGAUACGGGCAGACUUGAGUACUGCAGGGGAGACUGGAAUUCCUGGUGUAGCGGUGGAAUGCGCAGACAUCAGGAGGAACACCGGUGGCGAAGGCGGGUCUCUGGGCAGUAACUGACGCUGAGGAGCGAAAGCGUGGGGAGCGAACAGG